rnacentral:rRNA from 1 species
UACAGAGGGUGCAAGCGUUAAUCGGAAUUACUGGGCGUAAAGCGUGCGUAGACGGUUGCGUAAGUCAGAUGUGAAAGCCCCCGGGCUCAACCUGGGAAUUGCGAUGAAGACUGCAAGGCUUGAAUCUGGCAGAGGGGGGGUAGAAUUCCACGUGUAGCAGUGAAAUGCGUAGAGAUGUGGAGGAACACCGAUGGCGAAGGCAGCCCCCCUGGGUCAAGAUUGACGCUCAGGCACGAAAGCGUGGGGAGCAAACAGG